ACUAGAAAGACAAGGUUAAGACGACACUAGAAAGACAAGGUUAAGACGACACUAGAAAGACAAGGUUAAGACGACACUAGAAAGACAAGGUUAAGACGACACUAGAAAGACAAGGUUAAGACGACACUAGAAAGACAAGGUUAAGACGACACUAGAAAGACAAGGUUAAGACGACACUAGAAAGACAAGGUUAAGACGACACUAGAAAGACAAGGUUAAGACGACACUAGAAAGACAAGGUUAAGACGACACUAGAAAGACAAGGUUAAGACGACACUAGAAAGACAAGGUUAAGACGACACUAGAAAGACAAGCUUAAGACGACACUAGAAAGACAAGCUUAAGAUAAGACUCAAUUAGACCACUAAUACAUUGGCCUAACUCUUUGUAAGUGUUAGAGAAAGUACUCUGAGACUUACAAAGAUCCAACAGCAUACGCGGAGAUAAUUAGACACACAAGUGGUACACUCAACAAGUGGUAGAACAUGAAAGAAACAUCAACAGAGACACUGAGACAAGGCUGUGAAGAAGACAUGCAGACUCGGUCUACUUACAGAUGAGUGCACUGUUUUCCCUCUGCCACAGCAACGGCAGUCAAAGUUCCUGUCUUCCAGUCG